CAUGAUCAAAAUUUUAUCAGAACGGGCCCCAUGCCUUAGAAAUAUUUAGUUAAAUUAUAAUAUUUUUACCUUAUCGUUCUUAGUUUAUUUUCUAUUAUUGUAAAAGGAUUACUCAUUAAUGGAUUCUUGAGAACUAAGCAGGGAACCUUUAACUUAUUAUAUUAUAAUUUAUAUGCCUUCAUAAUAAACCUUGACAACCAUUCAGAUUCUAUUCUAUUUAUACGAAAUAUCAAUAUGUCACACGAGAGUCACUUACUUAAUUUGGAAAAUCGGUACUUUAAACAAUAUGAGAGAAUAUCCCCUCUACAUGAAAAUUCAUUUCUUUCUUCCAACUCUACAAAAAAUAAAAUAUUGACAUCUAUCCAGAUUCCCCUACAUAACACCUUUCUUCUGGAUCUUAGUCAAGGAAAUACCACAGAGAAUGUGAUGGAGAAUAUCAAUGGUAAGACUGACACAGAUACCAAGUUCCAAGGAAUGGAAAUUCAAGAAACUAAAUCCCUUUCCUCGAAUAAAGAAACUGAAGUCUUUGAGGAGAUACUGGAUGAACCACCUGAAUUGAAGAUGUACGAAGAUGAAUAUCCAAAGAUAGAGAAACCAAGUUUACACAAAGGAUUUGCAGAAGUUCCAAUUUCCAUUCAAAAACAGGAUCCUGCUCUACUUCAAAAGUUUGAACUCAUGCAAAUAUGUACAACAUCGCUGUUAUCCAAGCCCAAAUUGUAUGAGGCAGAAGGCCUUAUACGAAAAAAAAAAUACUUAGUCAUUGUGAGGAAGUGAUGGUUAACGAUUCCGUCUUUAUUCUUAAGCUUUAUACUGUCGACAGGAAUGUAAUUUUCGAGCAGGAUCGUUAUUACUUCUUUCUUUUGCUAGUUUCCAUGGUAAUUUAUAUAAAACCAAUUAUUAUGACUACUUUCAAAAAUGUAUAAGUGAAUGGGUAUCCAUUGCUGAUUAUGUUGCAUCUUUUGAGAGGGAAAAUAAAUCCUCACUUCCCUCAAUGCUCAGAAUAGCUAUGAUUAAGAAAUUUUCUGAUUUUGACGAAUAUCAACUUGCCAAAUAUCACAAAAAGGAUGUUCAAGAAAGAAAAAGAAAUCAUCAAUCAAUGAAGACGUAGUGCUAUCAGAUGACGACAACAAUGAUGAUUUGAACCUUCCAUCAUCUCGUAGUUUCAAUAUUAAAAGGCUCAUAAGAUUAUUGCAUAUUCAUCAUCCUCAAAAGUUCGUAAUGUGUCUUCUAGGAAAAAAAUAUCCCAAGUCGGAAGACGAAUUUAAGAAGCUUAAAUUAAGAGGGAAAUUUCAACCGGAGAAGGCUGGAAAAAGAAUGCGUUUACAAAUUCCAUUCACUUGGGAAACUCAAGUUUCUAUACACGGCAACAAGCCGCAAGUAUGGCAUGAUCUGAUUUUGAGCAAAAAAAUACCACAUUUGGCUAUUAUUCGUAAUUUAAGAAAUAUGGUCUUAUCCGGCAUUAAUGAGCAUCAGCUAAAGGAUAUCAUUUGCAGUAUUAAAAAUCUAAGUUCCAUACGAUCUUCCAAAGUAUUUCUGCAUCAGUAUCUAUGCGCUUAUAGUGCGAUGAAUUAUAUUGGAGGACUAUCAGAACAUAAGUAUAGGAUAAUGAGGAGACGGAGAAAGGAAA
rnacentral:misc_RNA from 1 species